rnacentral:lncRNA from 1 species
UUUAAGAACAUUAAAAAAAUAAUUAUACAGCUCAAUCAAAUUGUUGUACAACAACUAAAAUACAACAACUCAAUCUACCAUCAAAAUACAUCAAUUCCUCUAAAUCAACAAUCAAAAUACACCAAAAAUAUUAUUCAAAUCAAUUCAAUCUACAAUUAAAAUACAACAAUUCCUCCGAAUCAACAAUCUCAACAUUCAAUCUCCGAACAAUCUCAACAGAUCUUAGAACGAAAAUCAUUCACACAAUCUCCACACAAUCUCCAUAAAUCUCCAUAAAUAAAAGCUCAAUCAUCAACUCAUGAUCUCCAUCCUCUAAACGAAGCCAUACACAGACAUGACAAAAUCAAUAAUCACAAUUCAGACUUCUGCAAAUUAGCAUCAAAAUCCCAUCAUAGCAGAAUUUCUGCAGAAUUCCAGACUUGGAAUCCAAUUCCUACGGACACAAAUAGUAGAAACCUUCUUAAGGUUUGCUCUCUUCACCACUGUUACAGAUCUUGAUCUGUUGAAACAUUCCUAACAUUAAAUCAAGAAGCCAUUUUUCGCAUAACCAAAUGUCACCAACACAGCAACAUCAACACAUCACUAUUAUCUUCGCUACAACUAUAGAGAUACAUCAUCUUGCAUAAUAUGUUUGCUUUCUGCAUUUCUAAUAAUGUUAUUAAAGAACUGAAAAAAAACACAAACUUGGGGCUGUGUGUGUGCGCGUGAGUCUGGGGAGGGGGAGGGCUCCGGCUGGUUUUAUGAGGGCGGCAUAAGGAGGGGGAGGACCGGCGGCGGCGGUGGAGGCGGCCUGUGACUCCUGCUGUCCGUCGGUCAAGAGAGAAAGAGAUGGGUGGUGCUACUGUCGUUCGGAGAGGAGUCAGCAGAGCUGCUGCUGCUGUUGACGGCGGCGGUCCGGUUGGCUGUGGCUGCCGUUCAAAGAAUCAGAGGAGGAGGGAGGCGGCGAUGGCGGCGGUCCGGCUGACUGCUGCUGUCGGCUGGAGCAGAGGGGGGGGCGAGAUUGGUAAGAGAGGCCAUUUUUUCCGGCGAUGGACUGCUCGGCCUCAAGCGACCCAGAAUCGCGGUGGUGGCAGCCUUGUAACCGCUGCUCGCCGAGAAUCAGAGGGCGGCGACGGGGCGGCAGAGAGCUGAGAGAGAAGAGAGUGAAGAGAGAGAUGAAAGAGAGAGAGAGAGAGAGAAUUCGCAGAU